rnacentral:rRNA from 1 species
AACGAACGCUGGCGGCAUGCCUGACACAUGCAAGUCGAACGAGACCUUCGGGUCUAGUGGCGCACGGGUGCGUAACGCGUGGGAAUCUGCCCUUGGGUUCGGAAUAACAGUUGGAAACGACUGCUAAUACCGGAUGAUGACGUAAGUCCAAAGAUUUGUCGCCCAAGGAUGAGCCCGCGUAGGAUUAGCUAGUUGGUGAGGUAAAGGCUCACCAAGGCGACGAUCCUUAGCUGGUCUGAGAGGAUGAUCAGCCACACUGGGACUGAGACACGGCCCAGACUCCUACGGGAGGCAGCAGUGGGGAAUAUUGGACAAUGGGCGAAAGCCUGAUCCAGCAAUGCCGCGUGAGUGAUGAAGGCCUUAGGGUUGUAAAGCUCUUUUACCCGGGAUGAUAAUGACAGUACCGGGAGAAUAAGCUCCGGCUAACUCCGUG